rnacentral:siRNA from 1 species
UCCUUAGGGUUUUGGUUUUAGGGU